GUUUCCGUAGUGUAGUGGUCAUCACGUGUGCCUCACACGUGCAAGGUCCCCGGUUCGAUCCCGGGCGGAAACA